rnacentral:rRNA from 1 species
UAUAAAGAAAGGCCUUCAGGGUUGUUAAAGUACUUUCAGGCGGGGAGGAAGGGGAUGGGGUUAUUAACCCAUACGAUUGACGUUACCCGCAGAAGAAGCACCGGCUAAUUUCGUGCCGGCAGCCGCGGUAAUACGGAGGGUGCCAGCGUUAUUCGGAAUUACUGGGAGUAAAGCGCACGCAGGCGGUCUGUUAAGUCAGAUGUGAAUCCCCGGGCUUAACCUGGGAACUGCAUUUGAAACUGGCAGGCUUGAGUCUUGUAGAGGGGGUAGAAUUCCAGGUGUAGCGGUGAAAUGCGUAGAGAUCGGGAGGAAUACCGGGUGGCGAAGGCGGCCCCCUGGACAAAGACUGACGCUCAGGUGCGAAAGCGUGGGGAGCAAACAGGAUUAGAUACCCUGGUAGUCCACGCCGUAAACGAUGUCGACUUGGAGGUUGUUCCCUUGAGGAGUGGCUUCCGGAGCUAACGCGUUAAGUCGACCGCCUGGGGAGUACGGCCGCAAGGUUAAAACUCAAAUGAAUUGACGGGGGCCCGCACAAGCGGUGGAGCAUGUGGUUUAAUUCGAUGCAACGCGAAGAACCUUACCUACUCUUGACAUCCAGCGAACUUAGCAGAGAUGCUUUGGUGCCUUCGGGAACGCUGAGACAGGUGCUGCAUGGCUGUCGUCAGCUCGUGUUGUGAAAUGUUGGGUUAAGUCCUGCAACGAGCGCAACCGUUAUCCUUUGUUGCAGCGAUUCGGUCGGGAACUCAAAGGAGACUGCCGGUGAUAAACCGGAGGAAGGUGGGGAUGACGUCAAGUCAUCAUGGCCCUUACGAGUAGGGCUACACACCCAAACAAUGGCUCAGAGUUUGAGCCUGGAUCUGGCGUUAGCUAUUCCUCCUCCGGUGCGCCGUAUCUGUCGGAUUCUGGGUGUCUGAUAAUCUGAUGCACCAGGAGGAUGUCGCCUUACCUUUGAUCUGGUCAGCCUUUUCGAUCCUCAAAUCAUCUCCUCACAUACCCCAAAGCCCCCGAAGCAUUUGCACCGAAGAGAAUUAGGUCACUGCACAUAUGGUAUCGCGCAGAAAAGCACUGCAGCGACUGGGUUCACUCG